rnacentral:rRNA from 1 species
UACGUAGGGUGCGAGCGUUAAUCGGAAUUACUGGGCGUAAAGCGUGCGCAGGCGGUUCGUUGUGUCGGUGGUGAAAGCCCCGGGCUCAACCUGGGAAUGGCCAUGGAAACUGGCGAACUGGAGUGUGGCAGAGGGGGGUGGAAUUCCGCGUGUAGCAGUGAAAUGCGUAGAGAUCGGGAGGAACACCUGUGGCGAAGGCGGCCAGCUGGGCCGGACCUGACGCUGAGACGCGAAGGCGUGGGGAGCGAACGGG